ensembl:lncRNA
GACAGAGGGAGAGGGGGAGAGAGAGGUGCCCACAGCGUGUGCAGCUGCUCUUCAGUAAAUAAAAACAUGGAGGCGUAACUGCGGAGAGGACGAUAGAUAAUGAAGAGAAGUUAUCCUUCUGGAAGUGAAAAAAGAAAGAAAAAAAAGGAGGAGGAAGAGAAAAGAAAACAAGAAAGCGGAUCCCUAAGGAGAUUUUUCACUUCAAAAGGUGUUGUGACACCUUCUUCAGAUACGGAUCAUACAAGUUGAGGAUCUCUCUAAUUGGCUGAGGGAAGGCGGGUGUCUGGCCGACGGCUUCGUCUGGACCCUGAAGUUCUGAAGAUUG